rnacentral:rRNA from 1 species
UCAUAGUGAUCCGGUGGUUCUGAAUGGAAGGGCCAUCGCUCAACGGAUAAAAGGUACUCCGGGGAUAACAGGCUGAUACCGCCCAAGAGUUCAUAUCGACGGCGGUGUUUGGCACCUCGAUGUCGGCUCAUCACAUCCUGGGGCUGAAGUAGGUCCCAAGGGUAUGGCUGUUCGCCAUUUAAAGUGGUACGCGAGCUGGGUUUAGAACGUCGUGAGACAGUUCGGUCCCUAUCUGCCGUGGGCGCUGGAGAACUGAGGGGGGCUGCUCCUAGUACGAGAGGACCGGAGUGGACGCAUCACUGGUGUUCGGGUUGUCAUGCCAAUGGCACUGCCCGGUAGCUAAAUGCGGAAGAGAUAAGUGCUGAAAGCAUCUAAGCACGAAACUUGCCCCGAGAUGAGUUCUCCCUGACCCUUUAAGGGUCCUGAAGGAACGUUGAAGACGACGACGUUGAUAGGCCGGGUGUGUAAGCGCAGCGAUGCGUUGAGCUAACCGGUACUAAUGAACCGUGAGGCUUAACCUUACAACGCCGAAGGUGUUU